AGCCUAAUACAUUUACGCUGAGCUAAUCGCACGCUUGAAAUUGAGUCAUUGCCAACGGUAUACCUCCUACUGUAACCAUUCUUAAUUUCAUGCCUCUAUUGACAGUUUAAUAUUAUUAAUAUUUGA